GAUUAACGCUGGCGGCGUGCAUAACACAUUCAAGUCGAACGGAACAGGGUGCUUCGGUACUUUGUUUAGUGGCGGACGGGUGAGUAACGCGUGAGCAAUCUACCUCCAGGUGGGGAAUAACAACCGGAAACAGUUGCUAAUACCCCAUGACACAGAGAAGUCGCAUGGCUUUUCUGUCAAAGGCUUGCUGCCUGGAGAUGAGCUUGCGUCCGAUUAGAUAGUUGGCGGGGUAACGGCCCACCAAGUCGACGAUCGGUAGCCGGACUGAGAGGUUGAACGGCCACAUUGGAACUGAGAUACGGCCCAGACUCCUACGGGAGGCAGCAGUGGGGAAUAUUGGGCAAUGGGGGAAACCCUGACCCAGCAACGCCGCGUGAAGGAAGAAGGCCUUCGGGUUGGUAAACUUACUUUUACCUAGGGACGAAGAACGUGACGGUACCUGGAGAAAAGCCACGGCUAACUACGUG
rnacentral:rRNA from 1 species